rnacentral:rRNA from 1 species
CACGUGGGGAGCAAGCGUUGUUCGGAAUCACUGGGCGUAAAGGGCGUGUAGGCGGUCAAGUAAGUGGAAUGUGAAAGCCCCCGGCUUAACCGGGGAUGUGCAUCCCAAACUGCUUGGCUUGAGUACGGGAGAGGAUGGAGGAAUUCCUGGUGUAGCGGUGAAAUGCGUAGAUAUCAGGAGGAACACCGGUGGCGAAGGCGUCCAUCUGGCCCGAUACUGACGCUGAGGCGCGAAAGCUAGGGGAGCGAACGGG